CCUACGGGUGGCAGCAGUGGGGAAUAUUGCACAAUGGGGGAAACCCUGAUGCAGCGACGCCGCGUGAGUGAAGAAGGUUUUCGGAUUGUAAACUUCUUUUGUUAGAGAAGAUAAUGACGGUAUCUAACGAAUAAGCACCGGCUAACUCCGUGCCAGCAGCCGCGGUAAUACGGAGGGGGCAAGCGUUAUUCGGAUUGACUGGGCGUAAAGAGCGCGUAGACGGGAUAGCAAGUCAGAUGUGAAAUCCUAUGGCUUAACCAUAGAACUGCAUUUGAAACUGUUAUUCUAGAGUAUGGGAGAGGUAGGUGGAAUUCUUGGUGUAGGGGUAAAAUCCGUAGAGAUUAAGAGGAAUACCCGUGGCGAAGGCGACCUGCUAGAACAUAACUGACGCUGAUGCGCGAAAGCGUGGGGAGCAAACAGGAUUAGAUACCCUAGUAGUC
rnacentral:rRNA from 1 species